rnacentral:rRNA from 1 species
GAUGAACGCUGGCGGCGUGCCUAAUACAUGCAAGUCGAGCGAAUGGAUUAAGAGCUUGCUCUUAUGAAGUUAGCGGCGGACGGGUGAGUAACACGUGGGUAACCUGCCCAUAAGACUGGGAUAACUCCGGGAAACCGGGGCUAAUACCGGAUAAUAUUUUGAACUGAAUGGUUCAAAAUUGAAAGGCGGCUUCGGCUGUCACUUAUGGAUGGACCCGCGUCGCAUUAGCUAGUUGGGGAGGUAACUGCUCACCAAGGCAACGAUGCGUAGCGGACCUGAGAGGGUGAUCGGCCACACUGGGACUGAGACACGGCCCAGACUCCUACGGGAGGCAGCAGUAGGGAAUCUGCCGCAAUGGACGAAAGUCUGACGGAGCAACGCCGCGUGAGUGAUGAAGGCUUUCGGGUCGUAAAACUCUGUUGUUAGGGAAGAACAAGUGCUAGUUGAAUAAGCUGGCACCUUGACGGUACCUAACCAGAAAGCCACGGCUAACUACGUGCCAGCAGCCGCCGUAA